AAUGUAAUGCAUACAACGUUAAGGCAUUGGAUUCCAUUAAAACUCCAUAUUUAAGCGCACUUGGGAUAUAUUAGUACUAGGGUGGGUGCAACCCGAGAAGAUCUAGUGUUUUACAUGC
rnacentral:rRNA from 1 species